rnacentral:rRNA from 1 species
AAUCAUUUGUCUUUUAAUUUGGGACUGGAAUGAAUGGCUUAACUAAUUUAUUUUGUCUCAUUUCAAUAUUUUGAAUUUUAUAUUUUAGUAAAAAAGCUAAAAUUAACUUUAUAGACGAGAAGACCCUAUCAAGCUUUAUAAUCAAAAUUUAUUUUCAAAAUAAAUCCAAAAUUAUUACACUGGGGCAGUGAACAGAAAUCUUCUGUUUUAUAAAUGUGAUAUAUACAUCUUGGAGUAUCAAAAAUUUUUUAAUAAAGAAUAAGUUACUGUAGGGAUAACAGCAUAAUUUUUUUUAAGAGAUCUCAUCAUCAAAAAAGUUUGUGACCUCGAUGUUGGAUUAAGAUACCUAAUUCACGCAAUAGUAAAAUAA